rnacentral:rRNA from 1 species
UACGGAGGUGGCAAGCGUUGCUCGGAAUCACUGGGCGUAAAGGGCGCGUAGGCGGGGGGGUAAGUCGGGUGUGAAAUCCCUCGGCCCAACCGAGGAACUGCGCCCGAGACUGCUUCUCUUGAGUCCCGGAGAGGAAGAUGGAAUUCCCGGUGUAGCGGUGAAAUGUGUAGAGAUCGGGAGGAACACCGGUGGCGAAGGCGGUCUUCUGGACGGUGACUGACGCUGAGGCGCGAAAGCGUGGGGAGCGAACAGG